GACAGGGGGCGCAAAGCGCGUGCGCAGACUCCUCCCGAGCUCCCGAAUCGUGGAGCCACGGGAAGGGCUGGUACCAAUGCGCUUGCGCAGACUUCUUGACGCCUCCGAGUUCCUAAAUCCUGGGUGAAAGGCCUUGAAGCCGCCAAUGCGCGUGCGCAGCCUCGCCUCGGACCCCUGAGUCGCUAGAAGACGCUGGAAGGGCUGCAGCUUAUGCGCGUGCGCAACUUCUUACCCUUCCCCCAGCUCCAAACUCCUGGGCAAGAGUCCUUAAAGUGACCCAGCACCCUGGUCCGAGGACUACAGAACAGUGCUGAAAUGCCUGAGUGACUCUUCCUGCUAUUCUGACUAAGACAAGCUGAACAUCUUUAGAGCAUUCACUUUGGACUGAUGGUUCUGUCAGUGAAUGCGCCUAGUCAUGGAGUAGCUUGUUUUGUUGCUGCUUCUUCAGUUCACAUGGAUCAUCCCAGGCUUCUCCAGGAUGUCAUUGUUUAUGGCACAGUCACGUGCACCCAACCCUCUGAGCUCAUGUUGGUCUGAUCAGCCUCAGUCAGACACACUGGACUUUGAUGCCAAUAUAGUGAUGUCACUUUGGUCCUCUUGGAGAAAGAAGGACUACAACCAUUCCAUUGCACUCAUGGGCCACAGUUUUUUUUAUCCAUUGCUUCAUUAAUGGGCAUCUAUGGUUUUUCCAAUGUUUUUCUACCACAAAAAGUCUGCUAUUAAAAUUUUGGUGUAUAUGGGGACCUUCUUCUUAUCAAUGGCUUUCUUGGGGUAUACACCUGUUAGUGGAAUCUCUGGGUCAAAGGGUAUGGACAUCUUAGUCACUUUAUCUCCAUAAUACCAAAUUGCUUUCCAAAUGAUGGUAUCAAUUCCCAGAGCCACCAACAAUGUACCAGUGUGCCUGUCUUCCCACAACCCCACUAACAUUGACUUUUUGUCAUCUUUGCCAGUUGGCAGGAUUUGUGAGGUAACUUCUCAGAGUGGCUUUCAUGUGCAUUUCUCUUAUUAUUAGGGAUUUGGAGUGCCUUUUCUUUUUUAAAUAAUAAACACUUUUAUUUAUAGUUUUGAGUUCCAGAUUUUCUCCCUCUUUCCCUCCCUCCCCUCCC